UACAGAGGGUGCGAGCGUUAAUCGGAAUUACUGGGCGUAAAGCGCGCGCAGGCGGCUUCCUAAGUCCGUUGGUGAAAGACCGGGGCUCAACCCCGCGUCAGCCAUGGGAUACGUGGGAGGCUGGAGACAGGUAGAGGCAAGCGGAAUUCCGGGUGUAGCGGUGGAAUGGCGUAGAGAUCCGGAAGAACACCGGUGGCGAAGGCGGCU
rnacentral:rRNA from 1 species